rnacentral:lncRNA from 1 species
AUCAGAUAACAUGAUUGAUUCAUAUAGGUCUUGUGAGGGGGAUGAUUUUUUUUCACACAAUACUGAGCAAGAACAAUCACCUAGUCUGGAUUAUGCUAAUCUGGAUAAGUUUAAUAUUUCACCUGAAUGCUUGAAAAUGAUUUAUUCCAAGUGCAUGGAAGAGGUUUCUGAUUUUCGUUCCACAUCGGAGUUUGGAAAGGAAAAUAGAAAGAGAAGGAAGAGACAUGACAACUACCUUGACUGUACAGACUGGUGGAAAGGCAAGUCAGAACUCAGCAAAAAACUCUCUCUCAAGAAGAUAUUGGAGAAAGAUGUAGGAAUGGAUGUGAUGCCUCCAGCAUUCGUUAAUGGAUGCUUGACAUACCAGAUGAGAAGAGAUAAGAUUGAGGCGGCUAAGGCACGCAUUAAAAACAUCAUGUUUCCAUCGAAUGCUGGUUUACAUGCUGGGUNUUGAAUUUUUCGGUUCCAUCUAUAGAUGAGGUUAAAAAAAUGAUUGUAACUAUUACUGAAGGUGAGUAUGGUCAAGGUGAUUGGUUUAGUAUAUUUGUUGGUGCGUGUGCUUAUGUUGUUCGGAGGAAAAAUGGGAACCUUCUGCCUAUGACGGAUGUGGCUGCUGUAGUCUGCUGUGAUACUUAUGAGUUAGGAAGAAUGGUUAAUCGAGUUGUUAGUUUUCUUGACUUGAAGUUGCCUGAAUUUGAUAUUGUUUAUUUGUAUGAAACUACACUUAGAAAUAGCCCGAGCUUUAGUUGCAUUGAAGCUGAGAAAAAGGAGGUGAUGUUAAAACAGGGGGUGUUUUUGGUGCAGUGUUUAAUAAAGUGGUUUGUGACAACAGGGAGAAGGCCGGUGCAGGUUGUAGUGUCAGUUUUGGCAUUUAUUGGACAGUUAAAUCAGGUAAAUGUUAAAAUUGAGGAUUUGGCUAGUGAAUUGAAUGUGCCUGCUGUCACUUGUAGAUUGAGGUAUAAGGAGUUGUUAGAGAGGCUUGUGGAGGUUGCAAGAGUGUUGCCAUGGGGAAAAGAUGUUAAUGUAAAGAAUAUUGUGAAAUUUGCACCAUAUGUCAUUCAAUAUAUGGAAAUGAAGUCGAUGGGUAAUGGUCUAAAACAGAUAAAAAAUUCAGAUAAUGUGGGAUUUGACAUUGCUUAUUUUUUGAGUGAUUGUUUGCAGGAAAGAUCAGAUAACAUGAUUGAUUCAUAUAGGUCUUGUGAGGGGGAUGAUUUUUUUUCACACAAUACUGAGCAAGAACAAUCACCUAGUCUGGAUUAUGCUAAUCUGGAUAAGUUUAAUAUUUCACCUGAAUGCUUGAAAAUGAUUUAUUCCAAGUGCAUGGAAGAGGUUUCUGAUUUUCGUUCCACAUCGGAGUUUGGAAAGGAAAAUAGAAAGAGAAGGAAGAGACAUGACAACUACCUUGACUGUACAGACUGGUGGAAAGGCAAGUCAGAACUCAGCAAAAAACUCUCUCUCAAGAAGAUAUUGGAGAAAGAUGUAGGAAUGGAUGUGAUGCCUCCAGCAUUCGUUAAUGGAUGCUUGACAUACCAGAUGAGAAGAGAUAAGAUUGAGGCGGCUAAGGCACGCAUUAAAAACAUCAUGUUUCCAUCGAAUGCUGGUUUACAUGCUGGGUACAGCCAUUGCCUUUCAACAACUGCUAAAAAGGAGAAGAAGAAAAAGAAACGACAUGUAGAUGUUGAUUGGGAAGAUCUUAUAAUUGAAACUCUUCUUCUGCAUCAGGUGAAGGAAGAAGAAAUAGAGAAGGGGUAUUACAAAACCUUGAUGGACUUGCAUGUUUUUAACUCAGGUUGUUUUGAAUGAUCUCAACUGUACGCAGGUAUAUUCAGCUGCAGUGAGACAUCCUGGAAGAGAUUAUGCUGGCGAUAGAUGGAUUCAUCUUUUAUUUGUAAUCGGAGAUUGAUACAUGAACAUGUUUUUUUUUGAUGAUGAGCAUUGAGUGAAAUUAUAAGAUAUAAAUAUAACCGGAGAUUGUGCUUAGACUAAUAUAAUAUAACUUAUCGUAGUAGUUUUAGCUCUCAAUCUGUUGAUCACUUGCCCGUAAUUAAGGUAACUGACAUUGUUGGUAGUACCAUUAGUAGAUCCAGGGAUCUUGAUUAUCUUAUUCUGUCAUGAUGCAAAGACUUUUAGUGGCAUGGAACCUCGUCUAUUACAGGUUGAUUGGCCUUGUUUGUCUUCCUGGCUUUUAUACCAAUCGAGCUAUUAUACCAUACAGAAAAUUUUAGUCUUUCCCACCAGUUAUUGUGAUUCCUUGUGUCAGAUUAUUUGCAAAGUCUAGACAUUGUUUAUAAGAAUGUUAUUUUCUGCAUUUCGGCAGAAUUGCUAUUAUGUUCCUCCCAUAGCUGCAGCUGCAAGGACUCCUGGUUAGACUCUCCCCUCCCUCCCUUCACAGGCUGGAAAUAUUUUUAUUCAUGGACCCUGAACAUUUUCUUAUGCGGAUCUUUGCCUGUAAAACUUUAGUUAAGAGCUACUUGCCUGUUAGAGAUGCCAG